rnacentral:sRNA from 1 species
ACCAGGCACAGUGGCGCAUGCCUGUAAUCCCAGUAUCUGCGGAGACUGAGGCAGGAGGAUCACAAGUUCAAAGCCAGCCUCAGCAAAAGGGAGAUGCUAAGUAACUCAGUGAGACCCUGUCUCUA